rnacentral:lncRNA from 1 species
GGCUUCGGUGCAGAUGGGCUGCCUUCAGGGUUUCUUUACUCUGAAUUCUCCGGGUAGGCAGGGUUCCUAUGCCAAAGUUUCUAUCCGUCCUUCUCUGUUCUCUCUCUUUCUUUUUCCUCAAGGUUUUGUUCCAAGGAAACCUCAGAGUGUUUUGCUUCUCUUCCUUCUUUCUCCAGUAAAUCUCCCAGUGUAAACUCCAAGUGUAACUCCCCUACUGAAACUUCAGUAUUUAUAGACUAAUUUCGUGGGUAAUGGGCUUGGAAUGAGGGAGACCCAAGUCCAAAAUAAUUUGUUAUAUUUUAUUUAUUUAUUUAUUUUAAUUAUUUAAUUAAUUAAUUAAUUAAUUAAUUAAUUAAAAAAAAAAUUCUCUUUUUUUUUUUUUUUUUUUUUUUAUUACUGAAGUGCUGGUAUUUAUAGUGAUAAUGGUGACCUUUUGGGCUCAGAAUGAAGCCCGAAAUUUUUGUUGUCUGUCAGCUUCGCUAGGCGAGCGCGUAGCGAACAGGCCAGUUUGGGCCAUUUUCUGGAUUGGGCCAUCCGUGAGCUGGGCCUUUGUUUCUUCAAGAUCAGUGUUAUAUAUGAGUCGG